GAUGAACGCUGGCGGCGUGCCUAAUACAUGCAAGUCGAGCGAACAGACGAGGAGCUUGCUCCUCUGACGUUAGCGGCGGACGGGUGAGUAACACGUGGAUAACCUACCUAUAAGACUGGGAUAACUUCGGGAAACCGGAGCUAAUACCGGAUAAUAUAUUGAACCGCAUGGUUCAAUAGUGAAAGACGGUUUUGCUGUCACUUAUAGAUGGAUCCGCGCCGCAUUGGCUAGUUGGUAAGGUAACGGCUUACCAAGGCGACGAUGCGUAGCCGACCUGAGAGGGUGAUCGGCCACACUGGAACUGAGACACGGUCCAGACUCCUACGGGAGGCAGCAGUAGGGAAUCUUCCGCAAAGGGCGAAAGCCUGACGGAGCAACGCCGCGUGAGUGAUGAAGGUCUUCGGAUCGUAAAACUCUGUUAUUAGGGAAGAACAAAUGUGUAAGUAACUAUGCACGUCUUGACGGUACCUAAUCAGAAAGCCACGGCUAACUACGUG
rnacentral:rRNA from 1 species